rnacentral:rRNA from 1 species
GAGCCUAAAUGUCGAUUUGAGGUUGUGGUCUUGACCGUGGCUUCUGGAGCUAACGCGUUAAAUCGACCGCCUGGGGAGUACGGCCGCAAGGUUAAAACUCAAAUGAAUUGACGGGGGCCCGCACAAGCGGUGGAGCAUGUGGUUUAAUUCGAUGCAACGCGAAGAACCUUACCUACUCUUGACAUCCAGCGAAUCCUUUAGAGAUAGAGGAGUGCCUUCGGGAACGCUGAGACAGGUGCUGCAUGGCUGUCGUCAGCUCGUGUUGUGAAAUGUUGGGUUAAGUCCCGCAACGAGCGCAACCCUUAUCCUUUGUUGCCAGCACGUAAUGGUGGGAACUCAAAGGAGACUGCCGGUGAUAAACCGGAGGAAGGUGGGGAUGACGUCAAGUCAUCAUGGCCCUUACGAGUAGGGCUACACACGUGCUACAAUGGCAGAUACAAAGAGAAGCGACCUCGCGAGAGCAAGCGGAACUCAUAAAGUCUGUCGUAGUCCGGAUUGGAGUCUGCAACUCGACUCCAUGAAGUCGGAAUCGCUAGUAAUCGUAGAUCAGAAUGCUACGGUGAAUACGUUCCCGGGCCUUGUACACACCGCCCGUCACACCAUGGGAGUGGGUUGCAAAAGAAGUAGGUAGCUUAACCUUCGGGAGGGCGCUUACCACUUUGUGAUUCAUGACUGGGGUGAAGUCGUACAGGGGAAACCCGUAAAAGGGGAGGGA